rnacentral:rRNA from 1 species
UACGAAGGGGGCUAGCGUUGUUCGGAAUUACUGGGCGUAAAGCGCACGUAGGCGGAUAUUUAAGUCAGGGGUGAAAUCCCGGGGCUCAACCCCGGAACUGCCUUUGAUACUGGGUAUCUAGAGUCCAGAAGAGGUGAGUGGAAUUCCGGAGUGUAGAGGUGAAAUUCGUAGAUAUUCGGAGGAACACCAGUGGCGAAGGCGGCUCACUGGUCUGGUACUGACGCUGAGGUGCGAAAGCGUGGGGAGCAGACAGG